CUCGGCUGCCCCACCCAGCAGCUGGCGAGGGAGGCAGGUGGACUAGGGGGCCUGGGGGAGUGGGCCCAAGACCUGCUGUGCCCGGAGAGAGGGGGCUUGGAGGAAGGGGCGGGGCUGCAUCCGGGAGGUCCUGGCCCAGACUACACCUGUGGGUAGAGCAGGGGGUUCCGGCAGUCCAGCCCGCCCACCUCCAGCGCCCCCUCCACAGCCUGCCCCGGGCCAGGGAACAGCUCGGCCUCAUCCUGCUGAAGCCUCAGGGCAGUGCGGGCUCCAGGCAGCCACCCGUGCAGGGCACACAGUCACACCCAGAUCCAGGGCUGGCUGGCAGCCUUUGGGGUGGCCGCUCUGAGGAUGGAGGUAAGAGCACCAGGACAGAGACCCCAGCUUGGGAGUCGGAGGCUGGCUGCUGCCCAGGAGUCCCACCCCCUGUACCCCGUCAUGGAGCCCUGGGGCCCCUGUGGGUGGGCCUCACCCUGCUGGGGACGCUUCAGCCACAGCACCCGGGCCCCUCGAGGCUCGGGGGGGGUCAGAGGGGCCCAAACCUGCCUUUCCAUAAGAUCUGUUUCCAGCUGGGCCUCAGGAAGAAGCGGAACGCAGGUCUCAAUUCAGGAUGUUGGUGGCAGCCGUGGUCACAUCCAGCCCGCUCAGCUGAAGCCGGGCACCCAGAGCCCCUGUCAGUGAGAACUUCCAUGGGCAGAGGACACCGUCAGAAGCGGGGACAGGCAGGAAGAGCGGCUUCAGGAGCAGUGAAGAUCAGAACCCUUCCUGGAGGCCCCGAAGCCUUCCCCCAGCCCCUCCUGCCCACAACCUCCUCCCACAGGGACCCACCCUGCAAACGCUGGCCCAGUACCCCUGUCCCUGAGAGGCAGCCAGAUCAGAACCUCCUUGGAGGCAGGGAGGGUGUCUUCCCUGCCUGACACCCUGAGAAAGGCCCAGAGCAGCCCCAGGUUAAGGACACUCCACAUGUGUAAUCCCAGCACUUUCAGAGGCUGAGGG